rnacentral:rRNA from 1 species
UACAGAGGGUGCAAACGUUUGUUCGGAAUCACUGGGCGUAAAGCGCGCGUAGGGCGGCCCGGUAAGUCCGUUGUGAAAAGUCAAAGGCUCAACCUUUGAACGCCGAUGGAUACUGCCGGGCUAGAGUCCGGAAGAGGCGAGUUGGAAUUCCUGGUGUAGCGGUGAAAUGCGUAGAUAUCGAGAGGAACACCUGCGGCGAAGGCGGGUUGCUGGGCUGACACUGACGCUGAGGCGCGAAAGCCAGGGGAGCGAACGGG